GGCCGGAUGGCAGAGUGGUUAUGCAGCGGAUUGCAAAUCCGUGUACGCCGGUUCGAUUCCGACUUCGGCCU
rnacentral:tRNA from 1 species